rnacentral:rRNA from 1 species
UACCAGCACCCCGAGUGGUCGGGACGUUUAUUGGGCCUAAGGCAUCCGUAGCCGGUUCUACAAGUCUUCCGUUAAAUCCACCUGCUUAACAGAUGGGCUGCGGAAGAUACUAUGGAGCUAGGAGGCGGGAGAGGCAAGCGGUACUCGAUGGGUAGGGGUAAAAUCCGUUGAUCCAUUGAAGACCACCAGUGGCGAAGGCGGCUUGCCAGAACGCGCUCGACGGUGAGGGAUGAAAGCUGGGGGAGCAAACCGG